ensembl:lncRNA
GGUAUACACAACAGUUUCAACUACGACAGAUGUUUUGGGGCAGACUGCUGAUUUAGUGAUUACAUACAUGCUGUUAUGGUUUUCUUGUCAUUCAUAGAAAAGCACUGUUUCAGGCACAGCUGGCUGCCGGCGGAGCUCACGGGCAGGUCACUGCAGCUCCCCCUGGCUUCUGCUCCGCGGCUGCUGAAUGAGCCCUCAUCUGGGACUCUCCUCAGCUCUUACUAGAACAGUGGCGCGGCUGCCCCUCUGUGGGUCUUCCUUGGUCUCUUGUGCUCUGGGGGCCUCUGGAUGUCUGGAGUUUUGAUCUCCUCCAUACCUGCUUCAUACCAUAAAGGACAGGGCUGUGGCUCCCCACACUCCCUAGCAGAUCAUUACAUGGAGAAACCUUUGGAAUGCAAGCAUGCUGAUCCACACAGAAAACAUCAUUUUGAAGUUCGCGGACGACACUGCAGUGAUCGGUCGCAUCACUGUAGGGGACGGCUUAUAGGAGAGAGGUGGCUGGUCUGGUGUCAUGGUGUGAGGACAACAACCUCACCCUCAACACUGACAAGACAAAGGAGAUGAUUGUGGACACAAGAACAGGAGGCCUCACCCACCCCUGUUUAUCCUUGAAGUGGAGAGGGUGAGCAGCUUUAGGUACCUGGGUGUCUACAUCUCUGAGGACCUCACCUGGACACUGAACACCACACAGCUGGUCAAGAAGGCUCAGCAGCAGCUGCAUUUACUGAGGAGGCUGAUGAAAUCUGGUAUCUUGGCCAAGAUCCUCAGCAGGUUCUCCAGCUGCACCGUGGAGAGCACACUGACCAGCUGCAUCACUGCAUGAUACGGCAGCACUACUGCUAUGGACCGCAAACGCCUGCAGAGAGUGAUAACAACUGCGGAGAAGAUCAUCAGAACUCCGCUGCCCUCUCUGCAGAGCAUCUACCAUCACAGAGUCCAGAGGAGAGCUGCCUCCAUCCUCAAAGACCCCACACACCCCCAUCAUGGACUGUUCACUUUCUGCCCUCAAGACGAAGGUUUAGAAGUGUGAAAUCCAGAACAUCCAGACUCACUAACUCCUUCUUCCCCACUGCUGUCAGAAUCUUGAACAGCUGACCCAUUUUGAACAGUAAUAAUUAUUUUUUUGCAUCAUCUUAACAUAUUAAGCCACCUAUAGCUCUUUUGCACACAUCUGUUUCAAAUCUCCAUAUUUUGUCUCCUUUUCUGUCUUCAGCUAUUUAUUUGUACUAUUUGUAUUUAUAUGUUUUUCUAUUUCUAUUGUAAAUAUUAAUCGGCAUCUGUGGGUGGACAGCAAAGAAUACAUUUCAUUGCACAAAGAAAUGCCUUUCUCUUGUGACACAUGACAAUAAACAAUCUUGAAUCAAUCCUUGACUACUGUUUCUUGGUCUUCUCCUGCCUCAGUAAACCCUCCCUGCUUUGGCUGCUGUCAUGGUCCUGAGUCUGUCGACUCAGUGUUUUGUGUUUCCUUAUGCUUUUGUUUAUUCGGAUUAUGUAUUCCAUUAUUAUUUGCCAUUUGUUAGGUUUGUGUUCUAUGCCUGCCCUGGUCCCACCUUCCGGGUUCCCCCUGUCUGCCCAUGAUGUCAUUAUGUCUGCUUAUGAGUCUGCGUCUGUCUGGAUCUCUGUGUCUGUCGUGUGCUUCCUGUUUUAUUUUGUAGGUCUCUGUCUUAUGUGAGUGCGUUCAGCUUUGUGCUCUCCCUGGCUCGUCAGUGUAAUCAGCGUCAGCUGUGUCUCCCAGCUGUUUCCCCUCGCUCCGUUCACCUCUUGUAUUUAGUGUCUGCGUCUUCCGUUACUCGUUGUCACGUCGUACCCUAACGUUAACUGUGUGAUCCGUCUGCUAUGGAUCCUUUCCAAACGCCUUCGACGCUUGUGCCCUACCGGGGAAGAUGGCAGUCAACUGGACCAGCGCAGACAUGCUGCGGGACCGGAUGCGCUGUCUACACCGGCUCUCUCUUACCCUUUACCCGCCCCUGUUGCUUGUCUUGUGUUUCUAUGGUGUAUUGAUAGUCAUGUGCUUUUUCUGCUGAGGUGUUUUUUCUGUUAUCAAACUGUUCUCCCACUAGGAGCUCAGUCUGAGUGGAGUUUUUUUUUUCUCCUCCUCUUACCUCAUGUUAUGUAUUUUCGUUGUUUUUUUUUCCUAUCAGCCUACCUUUCUGACAUGUCUCCCCAAUGUGAUGUUUGUGUAAAGUUGGUCAGAAGGUUCCUUUGUAAGUGCGCAUGCGCCAUUAGCGUGCUGCCUGCUGUAACCCUAAUUUCCUUCGGGAUUAAUUAAGUAUUCUGAUUCUGAUUCUGUCUGCUUAGUUAGUUUUGUAUUCUCAGUUUAGUUAA